CUGCACCUGAACCCCAAGAAUCGCUGUUGCCUGUAACAGUGGUUUAAACACAGGUGCCACAGUGAGCGGACUGUGCUGCCUUCUGGGGCUGUGGCGGUGCCCCUGGAAGUGCACAUGGAGGUCCUACAUUC